AGUCGAGAAUCUUCCGCAAUGCGCGAAAGCGUGACGGAGCAAUGCCGCGUGAGUGAUGAAGGCCCUUGGGUCGUAAAGCUCUGUCAGGGGGGAAAAACAUUGAUGGUACCCCCAGAGGAAGCCACGGCUAACUACGUGCCAGCAGCCGCGGUAAUACGUAGGUGGCGAGCGUUAUUCGGAUUUACUGGGCGUAAAGGGUCCGUAGGGGGAUUUUUAAGUCUGAUGUGAAAUGCCGCAGCUCAACUGCGGAACUGCAUUGGAAACUGAAGAUCUUGAAUCAGGUAGAGGUAAGUGGAAUUCGUGGUGUAGCGGUGGAAUGCGUAGAUAUCACGAGGAACUCCAAAGGCGAAGGCAGCUUACUGGGCCAUGAUUGACCCUGAGGGACGAAGGCCAGGGUAGCGAA
rnacentral:rRNA from 1 species